GCCCGGAUGCUGGAAUUGGUAGACAGCCGACACUUAAAAUGUCGUGAGGUUUAUCCUCGUGUGGGUUCGAGUCCCACUCUGGGCACAA
rnacentral:tRNA from 1 species